GGCGGGUGUACAUAUCUGAAGUAGUGAUAUCCAUUCCUUGUCCCCAAAAACUCCAUGGAAAGAGAACCAUCCCAACGAGGCCAAUGGUCUGAUGGACUAACAAGAUAGGUCUUCCUAGAAAGAUGGUUAACACGUCUUCCCCCACGCAGGUGUCUAGAACUACUGGCCUGAUUAUUUUUUUCAAAUGAUUUUACUACCUUAGAACCAAAUAUUC
rnacentral:misc_RNA from 1 species